CAGUAGCCGCGGUAAUACAGAGGGUGCAAGCGUUAAUCGGAAUUACUGGGCGUAAAGCGCGCGUAGGUGGUUUGUUAAGUUGGAUGUGAAAUCCCCGGGCUCAACCUGGGAACUGCAUCCAAAACUGGCAAGCUAGAGUAUGGUAGAGGGUGGUGGAAUUUCCUGUGUAGCGGUGAAAUGCGUAGAUAUAGGAAGGAACACCAGUGGCGAAGGCGACCACCUGGACUGAUACUGACACUGAGGUGCGAAAGCGUGGGGAGCAAACAGGAUUAGAUACCCCAGUAGUCCCUGUCUCUUAUAC
rnacentral:rRNA from 1 species